UACAGAGGUCUCAAGCGUUGUUCGGAUUCAUUGGGCGUAAAGGGUGUGUAGGUGGCGCGCUAAGUCGGGUGUGAAAUUUCGGAGCUUAACUCCGAAACUGCAUUCGAUACUGGCGUGCUUGAGGACUGGAGAGGAGACUGGAAUUCAUGGUGUAGCAGUGAAAUGCGUAGAGAUCGUAAGGAAGACCAGUGGCGAAGGCGAGUUUCUGGACGGUAACUGACGCUGAGGCACGAAGGCCAGGGGAGCAAACGGG
rnacentral:rRNA from 1 species